UUGCUUCUCUGAUGUUAGCGGCGGACGGGUGAGUAACACGUGGGUAACCUACCUAUAAGACUGGGAUAACUCCGGGAAACCGGGGCUAAUACCGGAUAAUAUUUUGAACCGCAGGGUUCAAUAGUGAAAGACGGUUUCGGCUGUCACUUAUAGAUGGACCCGCGCCGUAUUAGCUAGUUGGUAAGGUAACGGCUUACCAAGGCGACGAUACGUAGCCGACCUGAGAGGGUGAUCGGCCACACUGGAACUGAGACACGGUCCAGACUCCUACGGGAGGCAGCAGUAGGGAAUCUUCCGCAAUGGGCGAAAGCCUGACGGAGCAACGCCGCGUGAGUGAUGAAGGUCUUCGGAUCGUAAAACUCUGUUGUUAGGGAAGAACAAAUUUGUUAGUAACUGAACAAGUCUUGACGGUACCUAACCAGAAAGCCACGGCUAACUACGUGCCAGCAGCCGCGGUAAUACGUAGGUGGCAAGCGUUAUCCGGAAUUAUUGGGCGUAAAGCGCGCGUAGGCGGUUUCUUAAGUCUGAUGUGAAAGCCCACGGCUCAACCGUGGAGGGCAUUGGAAACUGGGAAACUUGAGUGCAAAGAGGAGAGUGGAAUUCAUGUGUACGGUGAAUGCCAGAGAUAUGGAGGAACACCAGUGGCGAAGGCGGCUCUCUGGUCUGAACUGACGCUGAUGUGCG
rnacentral:rRNA from 2 species